CUUUCAACAACGGAUCUCUUGGUUCCAGCAUCGAUGAAGAACGCAGCGAAAUGCGAUAAGUAAUGUGAAUUGCAGAAUUCAGUGAAUCAUCGAAUCUUUGAACGCACAUUGCGCCCCUCGGUAUUCCGGGGGGCAUGCCUGUCCGAGCGUCAUU
rnacentral:rRNA from 1 species